UUUUGUGACGUUUUUUUUGUCUUCGGCUGUUUUUUCUCCGGCUGUUCGUGCACACACAUUUUUUAAAUUGAGGCAAGUCGAAGUUCGGUAGUCAAAGUCAUUGCCCCUCUGUCAGUGAUUGGUCAACAGUACUACUUCUAGUAGGAGUGGGAACGUGAAGUGUUUGUUGUCGUUCAACAAGAGGCGGUCCAGGCAGGAAGACAACAGAUGCAGUCCAAACACACCCUAUCCCAUCAGCCCUCAAAUGAAGUUGGCUGAGGGGAUAGGGAUGGACCACCCUGGCCCGGGAAUUCGUCACUCGCUCAUCCCGUGAUGAUUGUGUUUUCAGCCACUGGUAGCUUGUGGGUGCUUUAUAUGCGAACCGGCUCAAUUUGUCGGGGCAUGGACUCCACAAGGUGUCAACAGCUUUCCACAGGGAUGCUGGCCCAUGUUGACUCCAAGGCUUCCCACAGUUCUGUCUAGUUGGCUGGAUGUCUUUCGGGUGGUGGACAAUUUGUGAUACACAUGCGAAACUGUUGAAUGUGAAAACCCCAGCAGCGUGACACACUUAAACCGGUGCGCCUGGCACCUACUACCAUACCCGUUCAUAGGCACUUAAAUCUUUUAUCUUUCCCAUUCACCCUCUGAAUGGCACACAUC